UGGGGAAUAUUGCGCAAUGGGGGAAACCCUGACGCAGCAACGCCGCGUGAAGGAUGAAGGUUUUCGGAUUGUAAACUUCUUUGACCAGGGACGAAAUCAUGACGGUACCUGGAAAACAAGCUCCGGCUAACUACGUGCCAGCAGCCGCGGUAAUACGUAGGGAGCGAGCGUUGUCCGGAUUUACUGGGUGUAAAGGGCGAGUAGGCGGGAUUGCAAGUCAGAUGUGAAAUCUAUCGGCUUAACUGAUAGACUGCAUUUGAAACUGCGGUUCUUGAGUGAUGGAGAGGCAGGCGGAAUUCCUAGUGUAGCGGUGAAAUGCGUAGAUAUUAGGAGGAACACCAGUGGCGAAGGCGGCCUGCUGGACAUUAACUGACGCUGAGGCGCGAAAGCGUGGGGAGCAAACAGG
rnacentral:rRNA from 2 species